rnacentral:rRNA from 1 species
CUUAGCUUUCUUUACUGGCGACCGGCGCACGGGUGAGUAACACGUAUCCAACCUGCCCUUUACUCGGGGAUAGCCUUUCGAAAGAAAGAUUAAUACCCGAUAGUAUAAUGAUUCCGCAUGGUUUCAUUAUUAAAGGAUUCCGGUAAAGGAUGGGGAUGCGUUCCAUUAGGUUGUUGGUGAGGUAACGGCUCACCAAGCCUUCGAUGGAUAGGGGUUCUGAGAGGAAGGUCCCCCACAUUGGAACUGAGACACGGUCCAA